CGUUUGCCUUGAUCCUGGAGGCGGCCUUCUCCCAUUGCCGAGGAUUUGAAGCGAACUCCUGGCAGAUCAGAAAUGUUCAGGCGAACGGCGGUUAUAUUUGUCCGUGGACCCAAGACUUCGUUGACGGGCAAAUAUGUCAGAUUUUCUUGUUUUUUAUUUGUGGCAUCUUAUUGUAAGACCGUGACAUAUUUUGCCGUUUUCUCUAGGGAACCCUGCAACAAGGACUGUAGUGUGAAUAGCGUGCUGCGCUGCUCUCGCCAACUGAAAAGAACUCUGGUGUGCUGUAAAUGCCGACUGCACAAUAUAUGUGACUGGCCCGCGGCCGCUUUGAAGGUAAGAUUGUGUUCUCAUUAAUCUAUUUAUUGUACCAUUUGCUU